UAGUUUGUAGUGUGGGGGUAUAUAAAUCGAGCAAAUAGUGAUAAGUUUGUUUAGCAAAACUAUUCGAACCGCCACUGCUUCAAGGGCCGUUCGUAGCUGUAAAUGUUGACAUGCUAUGCUCUUUUGGAUUACAAUUGCAACACCUCCCGAUGAUGCGACUGCAUCAUCGCGAUCUUUGCGAAAAGUAACAUGCUGUCGGAGAAAGUUUGUGUGUUGUGUUUUUAGGUGUGUUUCCUGUAGACACGGCACUUUUGGAUUGUGUUUGUGUAUAAUCUCUUGCACAUCAUCAAGAUUCCUGAGAAGACCUCUGACAUUCCAUUGGAUGAUUUGUGUAUCCAUACUUAAAGAAAAAUUUGUGCUGUGUUUACGGAAAUGGAGGUGAUGCCUUAGGUUACAGAGCUCUUUCGAGGCCCUGUGACGGGAGUUCUGCCCUUUCUGGAGCGUUCGAGGGAGCCUCGCCGCUCCUUAGGCGUUUGUUGCGCCUUGAGGACAUGUGUAGUGUCCAUUGCCUCUUGUGAGGCGCCGGACACAUGCUCUUGCGAGCGAGAAGUUACCAGGGAAGGUCCCGCCUUGGAGGGCAAGACCCCUGCGCCCACCAGCCCGGAGGUCGAUGG
rnacentral:lncRNA from 1 species